CCUACGGGAGGCUGCAGUAGGGAAUUUUCGGCAAUGGUCGUAACCCUGACCGAGCAACGCCGCGUGAACGAAGAAGUUACUCGUAAUGUAAAGUUCCUUUAAUAGGGAAGAAAGAGAAAUUUGACGGUACGUGAAGAAUAUGCUGCGUCUAACUACGUGCCAGCAGUCGCGGUAAAACGUAGGGAUCGUGCGUUAGCUGGAAUUAUUGGGCGUAAGGGGUGCGUAGAUGGCAUAGUAAGGCUUUUGUAAAAAUGCUGGGCUCAACCCAGUAGGGCAAAAGAAACUGGAAAGCUAGAGUAUGACAGAGGCAAGUGGAACUACAUGUGUAGCGGUAAAAUGCGUAGAUAUAUGUAAGAACACCAGUGGCGAAGGCAGCUUGCUGCGUCGCUACUGACAUUGAGGCACGAAGGCGUGGGUAGCAAACAGGAUUAGAUACCCUUGUAGUC
rnacentral:rRNA from 1 species